rnacentral:tRNA from 1 species
GGAUAGUUAACUCAGUUGGUAGAGUGGCUGGCUGUUAACCAGUGUGUCGCAGGUUCAAAUCCUGCACUGUCCGCCA